rnacentral:lncRNA from 1 species
CAGUCCUGUGGUGUUGAAGUAAGUAGUUCAACAUAAAGUAAAGAUGUCCUUACGAUUACCCUUGCCGUCACAGGAGAGGUGUCUCUAAACACACAGUGAAGAAAAGACAAUUUCAAAUAACCAUUCAGAACAAAAGCUGAUGGCUUAUGACAACAUCUGACACUAUGAGGUCUGUGUCUAACCUGCCCGCAUUGGAUUAUCCUAUUCCAGAUAGGUGGGCAAAGACGACCUUCCAAUGUGAGAAAGGCGAAGUAAAGAUUCUGAAUGUGCUUUCAUGAGCCCAUUUAA